GACGAACGCUGGCGGCGUGCCUAACACAUGCAAGUUGAGCGACGAACCAGGGCUUGCCCUGGGGUAAAGCAGCGAACGGGUGAGUAACACGUGGGUAACUUACCCCGAUAACCGGGACAACCCGAGGAAACUCGGGCUAAUACCGGAAGUGCUCACUGGACUUCGGUUCAGUGCGUAAGGGAAGCUUCGGCCUGCGUAGCGUGAGGGGCACGCGGCCGAUUAGUUUGUUGGUGCGGUAACGGCUCACCAAGCCCGCGAUGGGUAGCUGGUCUGAGAGGACGAUCAGCCACACUGGAACUGAGACACGGCCCAGACUCCUACGGGAGGCAGCAGUGGGGAAUAUUGCGCAAUGGGCGAAAGCGUGACGCAGCAACGCCGCGUGUGGGAAGAAGGCCUUCGGGUUGUAAACCCCUUUCAGGAGGGACGAAGGUUAGGAGGUGAAUAGCUGGCCGGACUGACGGUACCUACACAAGAAGCCCCGGCUAACUACGUG
rnacentral:rRNA from 1 species